GAUAAGGAUGGUAUUUUUUUUUGUCAUUUAAGUAUUACCUUCCUCUUUAGGCAGAGGAAAAAAAAAGUUGGUAGGUAGCAACUGAAGUUUCAAGAGAACAUUGAAGUACAAUAUAGAAUAAUAAAAAAUACAUGGUUCACACUUCAAAGCUGUGGCAAGGAAACUUAUGCUGAAUCCCUUGCCCUUUAUGCCAUAGAGCAUCCGGCUGGAUUUCCGUUUAUCAUCGUUAU
rnacentral:misc_RNA from 1 species